GCAGGUGUAGUUCAAUGGUAGAACAUCAGCCUUCCAAGCUGAAUACGCGGGUUCGAUUCCCGUCACCUGCUCCA
rnacentral:tRNA from 2 species